UACGUAGGGGGCAAGCGUUGUCCGGAUUUAUUGGGCGUAAAGAGCGUGUAGGCGGCCAUGCAGGUCCGUUGUGAAAACUCGAGGCUCAACCUCGAGACGCCGAUGGAAACCGCAUGGCUAGAGUCCGGAAGAGGAGAGUGGAAUUCCUGGUGUAGCGGUGAAAUGCGCAGAUAUCGGGAGGAACACCGGUGGCGAAGGCGGUUCUCUGGGCCUGUACUGACGCUGAGGAGCG
rnacentral:rRNA from 1 species